rnacentral:tRNA from 1 species
GCCCCGGUAGCUCAGCUGGUAGAGCACGUCAUUCGUAAUGAUGGGGUCGGCGGUUCGAUUCCGUCUCGGGGCACCA